rnacentral:lncRNA from 1 species
UUUAAGUUAAUAGAAAUCUAUGAAAUUUAAACACACGGUUAAUUACCACAAAAGAAAGGUUGGGAUUGAUUUUGAGAGUUUUGGUCCCAACAGUUUAGGAAUGAGGGGCCAAAAAAGAGCCCAUUUAGGCAUUUUUCUUGGUUUUCACACAAUAACUUUAGUAUUAGUAAAUAUAAAUCUAUGAAAUUCAAACACAAGGUUUAUGAACACAACAGAAAGGUUGGGAUUGAUUUUGGGAGUUUUGGUCCCAACAGUUUAGGAAUUAGGGGCCAAAAAGGGGCCCAAUUAAGCAUUUUUCUUGGUUUUCGCACCAUAACUUUAGUAUAAGUAAAUAGAAAUCUAUGAAAUUUAAACACAAGGUUUAUGACCAUAAAAGGAAGGUUGUGAUUGAUUUUGGGAGUUUUGGUCCCAACAGUUUAGUAAUUAAGGACCCAAAACAUGCAAAAGGUCAAAAUUAAACUUUGUUUGAUUUCAUCAAAAUUGAAUAAUUGGGGUUGUUUGAUAUGCCGAAUCUAACUGUGAAUGUAGAUUCUUAAUUUUUGGUCCCGUUUCAAAUUGGUCUACAUUAAGGUCCAAAGGGUCCAAAAUUAAACUUAAUUUGAUUUUAACAAAAAAUGAUUUUUGGGGGUUCUUUGAUAUGCUGAAUCUAACCAUGUAUUUAGAUUUUGGAUAUUGGACCAUAAUAGGUAAAUGUCCAAUUUUUAAGUUUUUAAGUUUAAGUUCUUAGACCACAUUCAUUCUGUGUCAGAAAACUAUGUUGUGUCAACUAUUUAAUCACAAUCCAAAUUCAGAGCUGUAUCAAGCUUGAAUGUUGUGCCCCAACUGUUCAGGGUUCGAACUCUGCUGUCGUAUAAAGCUGUGCCCUAUGGAGCAUAUGGUUUAAGGUUAACAGAUGACGAACUUCAUGGGAUUGCAAUAGCCGGGCCAACCUGGCUUAUGGAAAGGCAAGAUAGAUAUGGCCCUAACAAUUGUAAGAAUUUUUUUAAUUUCUUAUGGCACACAUCCGUCUGAGAUGUUAUUCCACCAGCAUAAAUCACAAAAUUGACCCGUAACAUAAUAUUUACAAACCAAUAAUAGAAUCAUUUGGUCAAAGCAUUUCUAAACUGAAACUGAAGUGUGAUGGACGGGCGGAUAGACGGACAGGCAAAUUGAACACAUUUUAAGUUGGUGGUGAUUUAAAAAAUAAUAAUAGUCAAUGGGUGAUCACUAAUAUCGGAAGUCCAGUAUAAUGGAAUCCUCUUAAUAUAUACAUGUAGCUAUUAACAUAUCAUUAAUAACAGCUUUGUUGUACUACUAUCCCGCAAUUGGAAUUCAGGAUCUCCGAGAUAGACAAAUAGAAUACAUCUGCAGAGCUCCAGAUAAGCUGCGUAUUUGCGUGAUCACGCAAUAAAAAUAAUAAAAAAACCAAUGCAAUUGCCCAUUGCAGGGUUCAAUAACCCAAUUAUUUCAAAGGAAAACCCAAUUAUAUGCCCAAACCAUGAGUUCUCGACCUUUUAAUUGGCUACUGUUUGCGUUAU